GAUGAACGCUGGCGGCGCGCCUAACACAUGCAAGUCGAACGAUUAAAGCACCUUCGGGUGUGUAUAAAGUGGCGAACGGCUGAGUAACACGUGGGCAACCUGCCCCUUUCAUUGGGAUAGCCACGGGAAACCGUGGAUAAUACCGAAUACUUCGAGACUUCCGCAUGGAAGACUCGAGAAAGCUCCGGCGGAGAGGGAUGGGCCCGCGGCCUGUUAGCUUGUUGGUGGGUUAACGGCCUACCAAGGCAAUGAUGGGUAGCUGGGUUGAGAGACCGACCAGCCAGAUUGGGACUGAGACACGGCCCAGACUCCUACGGGAGGCAGCAGUGGGGAAUCUUGCACAAUGGGCGAAAGCCUGAUGCAGCGACGCCGCGUGCGGGAUGAAGGCCUUCGGGUUGUAAACCGCUUUCAGCAGGGACGAGGCGAAAGUGACGGUACCUGCAGAAGAAGCCCCGGCUAACUACGUG
rnacentral:rRNA from 1 species